ensembl:lncRNA ADAMTS19-AS1 ADAMTS19 antisense RNA 1
UAUUCCACAUACGGUUAAAACGAGGCCGGCAGAAGUGUGCUUCAUUUCCGAACUUGACCCCUUAACCUGCACCUCAAGCUCAUUUUUAUUGCUACCCACUGAGCCCUGCUCUCCACGCACCGGUUGCACCAGCCCUGCCGACCCGUACGUUCGCGGUCUCCGCUGGGAUGGCUGGAAAGGAAGCGAGAAAGUCACGGAAGAACUUACCUGAAACGAUCCCAUUCGACAGGAACCCCAGCUGGUAAAGGAGGCAGCAGCAGCAGAUGAGUUUCCGAGGCCGAGCAGGCUAGUGCUGGAGCCCCACAAGACAGACCCACAGCCAGCCGAGAGCCGGGAGUGCUGCCUCUGGACAGGCAGAGGACUGCCCGGCGCGGGCAGGAGAGCUGUGGUGUCCGAGCCGAGGCUCGCCGCCUGCACCCGCGCGGAACGGGCGGAGGCUGGUGUCACAGUCUCAGCAACUUGGUGUGCCAAGCUCCGCACACUCCUCACGCUCCUUAGGACGCACCGCUGAAGGCUCUCACCCGCAGCGGCGCGGGAGGGAAUGAGUAGGGAGAUGGGAAGACACGACUAGAGAGGUGGGUUGUAGAGCAGAAAAGAAUCAAGCACAUCUGACCAGAAAAAGGGACCAAGGGGUGCCCGCCAAGCGUGACUUUGCGGGACAAAGGUCCCAGAACACCGUGCACGUGCUCAAACGCCGGUUGGGAUGGGGUGGGGACCCAAAAUCCCUCACCUGACUAUUGAUUGGCCACUCGGGAAGGCCUGAUUUGCAUCCAUCCCCUGCCCCCG